GAUGAACGCUGGCGGCGUGCCUAAUACAUGCAAGUCGAGCGAACAGACAAGGAGCUUGCUCCUCUGACGUUAGCGGCGGACGGGUGAGUAACACGUGGAUAGCCUACCUAUAAGACUGGGAUAACUUCGGGAAACCGGAGCUAAUACCGGAUAAUAUAUUGAACCGCAUGGUUCAAUAGUGAAAGACGGUUUUGCUGUCACUUAUAGAUGGAUCCGCGCCGCAUUAGCUAGUUGGUAAGGUGACGGCUUACCAAGGCAACGAUGCGUAGCCGACCUGAGAGGGUGAUCGGCCACACUGGAACUGAGACACGGUCCAGACUCCUACGGGAGGCAGCAGUAGGGAAUCUUCCGCAAUGGGCGAAAGCCUGACGGAGCAACGCCGCGUGAGUGAUGAAGGUCUUCGGAUCGUAAAACUCUGUUAUUAGGGAAGAACAAAUGUGUAAGUAACUAUGCACGUCUUGACGGUACCUAAUCAGAAAGCCACGGCUAACUACGUGCCAGCAGCCGCCGUAACAC
rnacentral:rRNA from 1 species